rnacentral:piRNA from 1 species
UCGGAACACUGUUCCAAAAUA